CGGCGAGUGAAGCGGCAACAGCUCAAAUUUGAAAUCUGGCUCUUUUAGGGUCCGAGUUGUAAUUUGCAGAGGGCGCUUUGGCUUUGGCAGCGGUCCAAGUUCCUUGGAACAGGACGUCACAGAGGGUGAGAAUCCCGUACGUGGUCGCUAGCUAUUGCCGUGUAAAGCCCCUUCGACGAGUCGAGUUGUUUGGGAAUGCAGCUCUAAAUGGGAGGUAAAUUUCUUCUAAAGCUAAAUAUUGGCCAGAGACCGAUAGCGCACAAGUAGAGUGAUCGAAAGAUGAAAAGCACUUUGGAAAGAGAGUCAAACAGCACGUGAAAUUGUUGAAAGGGAAGCGCUUGCAGCCAGACUUGCUUGCAGUUGCUCAUCCGGGCUUUUGCCCGGUGCACUCUUCUGUAGGCAGGCCAGCAUCAGUUUGGGCGGUGGGAUAAAGGUCUCUGUCACGUACCUCUCUUCGGGGAGGCCUUAUAGGGGAGACGACAUACCACCAGCCUAGACUGAGGUCCGCGCAUCUGCUAGGAUGCUGGCGUAAUGGCUGUAAGCGGCCCGUCUUGAAACACGGACCAAGGAGUCUAACAUCUAUGCGAGUGUUUGGGUGUCAAGCCCGAGCGCGUAAUGAAAGUGAACGGAGGUGGGAACCCGCAAGGGUGCACCAUCGACCGAUCCUGAAGUUUUCGGAAGGAUUUGAGUAAGAGCAUGGCUGUUGGGACCCGAAAGAUGGUGAACUAUGCUUGAAUAGGGUGAAGCCAGAGGAAACUCUGGUGGAGGCUCGCAGCGGUUCUGACGUGCAAAUCGAUCGUCAAAUUUGGGCAUAGGGGCGAAAGACUAAUCGAAC
rnacentral:rRNA from 1 species